rnacentral:rRNA from 1 species
AUUGAACGCUGGCGGCAGGCUUAACACAUGCAAGUCGAACGGUAACAUAAAGGAGCUUGCUUCUUUGAUGACGAGUGGCGGACGGGUGAGUAAUGCUUGGGAAUCUAGCUUAUGGAGGGGGAUAACUACGGGAAACUGUAGCUAAUACCGCGUAGAAUCGGGAGAUGAAAGUGUGGGACCUUCGGGCCACAUGCCAUAGGAUGAGCCCAAGUGGGAUUAGGUAGUUGGUGAGGUAAAGGCUCACCAAGCCGACGAUCUCUAGCUGGUCUGAGAGGAUGACCAGCCACACUGGGACUGAGACACGGCCCAGACUCCUACGGGAGGCAGCAGUGGGGAAUAUUGCGCAAUGGGGGCAACCCUGACGCAGCCAUGCCGCGUGAAUGAAGAAGGCCUUCGGGUUGUAAAGUUCUUUCGGUAGCGAGGAAGGCAUUUAGCUUAAUAGACUAGGUGAUUGACGUUAACUACAGAAGAAGCACCGGCUAACUCCGUG